GCCCCGGUACCUCAGUUGGAUAGAGGGUCCGCCUCCUAAGCGGAACGCCGCUGGUUCGAGCCCAGUCCGGGGUGCCA
rnacentral:tRNA from 1 species